CCCAGUGGGUACAGCUGUGAGAAGCAGGGCAGAGGGUAAGGGCUGUGGAGAUGGAAGCAGCUGAUUCAAUGUUUCCAGGUGUGUUUGUCUUCACAGCUGCUGGUUGUGCAUAGCUCCUGCAGCUACCCAGGAAAGCUGCUUUUCCAGUAGCUUCUCCAGCCUUCAUUAUCCUCACACUAAGCACUAGAGUCACACUGCGACAUUGAGCAUAUGGACUUGUCCAACAAGAACCUGCACUUCCCCACAGGCACAGCCUUGUGGAGUCACACAGCUUUUCUUCACAAUGGAAAUCUGUGUGUACAUCAUGAAGAAGAUAAAUAUGUGUAUGAAGAAGUGUCCCCGGGGUCUUUUCCAAAGCAAUGAAGCAUCCUUGUUUCAGGUUACAAUGGCAGCUUGAGGGCAGCAUUUCCAUCCAGAAGAAAAUGGCUGUGACUCUUCAUAAAUAGAGCCCUUCUUGGAAAAUGAGAUAAAAUGCAUAACCAGGAAUGUGUUAACCGAAGAGAGAAGAGAAACAUCAGCAAAAUGAAAAUGAACGGCUGACACAUAGUUGGGGAAAGGUUACCAGUGGGAAUUUCUUUGUCUGAAUGGAUGUUUUGUUGUAUAAAUAGAUGUGUUUUUGUCAUUAUAUGAGUUGCUAGUAUUAAUUAAAAUGGUAAUCAAAUUUCCCUCGUGUUUUUCACACCUGAAAAUUAUAGUCCUUCACACAUCUGUAAGGAUUCACUGAGUCAGAGUUUUCUUUUAAUGUUCAGGUACCAGCUAAUUAGACUGUGCAUUUAAAGUGGGGUUGUUCUAUGUUGUUUUUUUUUUUUUUCUCAGUGGUUUUGAGUAGAAAUGUUAGGCGGCUGCAACAGAGCAGUAGCAAUGCUUUGUGACUGACAAAGCAUGUCAUAUUAUAAAGUCCACAAUAGGUUUUGCAUGCCCAGCACCUUUUUAUAAAUGCAGGCUCUGGGCAAAUGUCAAAUGGGAGAAAGAGCUGCUGGCCAGCCUAGCAGAGGGAUGCUGCUGCAUUGUCUCUGUGAAACAAGAUGACUGAAGGUUGUGGCCUGCAGCCUGGCUGUGUGAUGAACUCUCCGGUGUUUGCUUCUUGCCUCCCCCAGCUUCUUGAUUGAUACUGAUAGCAGCAGAAGAAAUGUGCACACUUACAUCCAUUUUAUAAAAUGCAUUGGCCCAGACCUAACCACUGGGCAUUCCAGGGGCUGUUGUCUGCCACUUUGUCCCUCAGAUACUCAGGGAAAUUCAUGGACUUUCAAGUCUAGCAAUUACAUUAUGCCUUUACAAGAAGGGAAGGAAAUAGGAUGAUACUUCUAACAGUAAUUAAAAGCCAAGGAUAAAUUGUGAGCAUAAGUUGUAGCUGCUGGUUACAAGUGCUCCCCACACUGACUCAGCUUCCGGUUCUGGACCUUCUAUUGUUUCACAUCCUGAAUUCUGAGUAAAAGUCCAGAAUUUUACCUAAGCCAACAAAUAUUCCCUAGAGGAGGAAUACACUUCUGAGCCUACUGUACAGGAGAGACAGAACUGGGGAGUGAAGAAUGAAAACUGUAGGCGCACAAGGACCUGUUUUCUCACUAUGUAGUUGGGGUUUUGUUUGGUUGGGUUUGAAAUGUGCAGAUUUCAUCUCAUUACUUUUUCAACAUAUUAGUGUCAUGCCUCCUUUCACACAUAGCUAAAAGAAUGAAGGCCUUCUAUAGUUGAUUUUCUCACAUUUCCAUUAGCUUGGGUAUGUGUUUUCAGUAAUUUCUUUGAAAAGUGUUAGGUGGCUUAUUCCUCUGCUUUCUGAGUUAGAGUGCUUGUCUCUGCAUAAGAAAAAAAUAUUGCCUAUUUGUUAAUUUCAUUAUAAUUUUGUUUGUUGUUAGAAUGAUAUGUUAUUUUUGUAUUAUUUCACAGGAAUUAAUGCGUUUAGAUAGCAUAACCUGAGAUACUGAGGGGGAACCCUUAUGGGAUCUUUCACCUUCACAGAAGCAAAUAAUAUUCUGAACAUCAGCACCAUGAUAUUCAUCUAUCGGUUGCUCUCAAGAAUGCUGCAAAAGAGGCAGUCACUUCCUUAAGGUGUUUGUAUGGGGGCAGUAUAUACCACCAAACGAAGUAACAACUGAUGGGAUUAAAAGGUUUCCAGAGAAGGACUUCU
ensembl:lncRNA